rnacentral:rRNA from 1 species
CCUACGGGUGGCAGCAGUGGGGAAUCUUGCACAAUGGGGGAAACCCUGCUGCAGCGACGCCGCGUGAGUGAAGAAGUAUUUCGGUAUGUAAAGCUCUAUCAACAGGGAAGAAAAUGACGGUACCUGAUUAAGACGCCCCUGCUAACUACGUGCCAACAGCCGCGGUACUACGUCGGGGGCAAGCGUUAUCCGGAUUUACUGGGUGUAACGGGAGCGUAGACGGCAGCACAAGGCUGGAGUGAAAUGCCGGGGCUUAACCCCGGAACUGCUUUGGAAACUGUGCAGCUAGAGUGCAGGAGAGGUAAGUGGAAUUCCUAGUGUAGCGGUGAAAUGCGUAGAUAUUAGGAGGAACACCAGUGGCGAAGGCGGCUUACUGGACUGUAACGGACGUUGAGGCUCGAAAGCGUGGGGAGCAAACAGGAUUAGAUACCCUUGUAGUC